UACGUAGGUCCCGAGCGUUGUCCGGAUUUAUUGGGCGUAAAGCGAGCGCAGGUGGUUUAUUAAGUCUGGUGUAAAAGGCAGUGGCUCAACCAUUGUAUGCAUUGGAAAUUGGUAGACUUGAGUGCAGGAGAGGAGAGUGGAAUUCCAUGUGUAGCGGUGAAAUGUGUAGAUAUAUGGAGGAACACCGGUGGCGAAAGCGGCUCUCUGGCCUGUAACUGACACUGAGGCUCGAAAGCGUGGGGAGCAAACAGG
rnacentral:rRNA from 1 species